GUCCGGUUAGCUCAGCUGGUUAGAGCGUGGUGCUAAUAACGCCAAGGUCGCGGGUUCGAUCCCCGUACUGGACA